UCCAAUUCAGCAGCCCCGCGGUAAUUCCAGCUCCAAUAGCGUAUAUUAAAGUUGCUGCGGUUAAAAAGCUCGUAGUUGGAUCCCAGUUGCAGACGGGCGGUCCGCCUCAUGGCGGUUCACUGCCCCGUUCUCGACAUACCUCCGGUUAUAUUUGUCCCGCGAUGCUCUUUACCGGGUGUCGCGGGGGGCCGGUACGUUUACUUUGAAAAAAUUAGAGUGCUCAAAGCAGGCGAUGGCCAGAAUAAUGGUGCAUGGAAUAAUGGAAUAGGACCUCGGUUCUAUCUUGUUGGUUCUUCGGAACACGAGGUAAUGAUUAAUAGGGACGGACGGGGGCAUUCGUAUUGCGACGUUAGAGGUGAAAUUCUUGGAUCGUCGCAAGACGAACUACUGCGAAAGCAUUUGCCAAGAAUGUUUUCGUUAAUCAAGAACGAAAGUUAGAGGUUCGAAGGCGAUCAGAUACCGCCCUAGUUCUAACCAUAAACGAUGCCAACCAGCGAUCCGUCGGCGUUACUUCGAAUGACCCGACGAGCAGCUUCCGGGAAACCAAAGUUUCUGGGUUCCGGGGGAAGUAUGGUUGCAAAGCCGAAACUUAAAGGAAUGAC
rnacentral:rRNA from 1 species